rnacentral:lncRNA from 1 species
GAAGUCAUUACAGCUAUGUGAAGCACCGGAUCGACGGGCUUGACAAAGAUAACUUUGUGUACAGCUACACUUUGGUUGAAGGCGAUGCUCUUUCAGACAAGGUUGAGAAAAUCAGUUAUGAGAUUAAGUUGGUGGCAUCUGCUGAUGGAGGUUCCAUCAUAAAGAGCAGCAGCAACUACCACACCGCAGGGGAUGUUGAGAUCAAGGAAGAGGAUGUUAAGGCUGGCAAAGAGAAGGCCACUGGUCUGUUCAAGCUCAUUGAGAACUACCUUGUGGCCAACCCAGAUGCCUACAACUAAAACCUUAAAUGAAAUAUACUGCAUGUGCUUUCUCUGUCAUUAUAUUGGUGUGGCUUUCAUUUUUCCUUUCCUUUUUGUUGUGUGUGGCCAAGGCCUUGCACUUGGAGGCCUUUGUUAUAUCAAAGUGUGACUGUUGUAUUUUUUUUUUUCAUUAAAUAAAGCAAAAAUCAGUUGCUGGUCUUUACAAAUUUGGUCUGUAGUAUUUUUUCUCUUCAAAUUAGUGAAUUUCAAAUUUUUUUUUUUACUAAUAAAAAUUUACUAGUGCAAAAUAAAGAUUUGAUAAAAUUGGAAUAAUAAGGAUGACAUGCAUAAAUCGAGAAAUGUCCCUUUGGUUUGGUCAAGGUUUUUGAGAAGUACCAUUUGGGGCAACCCAGAUGCCUUCAAUAAGUAAAACUAUCUGUCACAGUACUGCUUGUAAAGAGCAACAAAAGUCUUGUGUCCUCCUUUUCCAUCUUCAUUCAUUGGUGCAGCUUUCAUUUCUAUGAUGAGUGUGUAUUUAUUUGAAUUCAAUCUUUAUAAUUAAAGGAACAUCAUUUGCUAAUUAUUUGAUUCCGCUAAUUAAAGUGACUCAGUCUAUUUGCAUGUCUAAAAUGUACAAAUAAAAAACGAAUAAAAAAUAAAAUAAAAGUAAAAGACAUUGCAAAGAAUCAUAUCUUCAACAUGAUCAGUCCUCAGUCUAUUUGCAUGUCUAAAAUGUUGGUCAAUCCUCCUCAGUCUGACCAUAACUAACCAAUCAAUCUUAAUCAACGGUCCCGAUUUCUUUCAAUAUAUAUAUAUAUAUAUAUAUAUCCAGCCAUUAUCAAGUAUCAACUAAAGCCAGCCAUUUCCAAUUUUCCAUUGUUUGGAAUGGCACUCAGCCUGGUUCCUGCUACGCUAUUUGUGGCCGCUAAUGCCCAGCAAGUUGCUAGUGAGAAUUGAUAAACGCAAUUAGCUAGCUAGUUGUUGGGCAUAGCGGCUGCGGAUAACGUAGCAGAUAUCCACAAUAUGAAGAUUCACGACACUGUUUACAAUAAGAAUUUGGUUCCCGUUUGUCCAAUUCGCAGAUGCUCAGCCUCAUUUUAAAGCAUUUCGGUAUGAAAAAAUUUGGUUUUUCACAUGUUAGUCAAGAUAUGAUUGCACCAGCGUCAUGUUGUCAAACAGUCAUUGUUAGUUUUGAGUUUUGAGUUUUGAGUUUUGAUUAGAGAAAACUUCCAUUCAAACAGCAAAACAAUUGACUCUGACUGAUUAAAAAAACAGUUUACUAUUAGUUGGUAACAAUUACUCAAAUGAAUGUUUUAUGUUUUAUUGGGACUGAAAUUAAGUACAACAUUACUCUUCAAUCUUAACUCCAAAAGGACCACAAGCAAUUUAAGCCUGACAGCAUGAUACCAGUAAAGAAACAAAGACACCAAGGGCAAACACAAAAACUAACAUAAGCAAUAGUAGCCAAUAUGCCAUUCAUAGCCAACCCAAAAAUAAAGUGUCUCAUUGGGCAUUAAAAACCUUUCAUUUAAGUAUAUGAAGCACUGGAGAUCCUAUUAUCUUGUGAAGGCUAUCAAAUUAUUUUUGUUUGUUUCAUUUAUUGAAAUUGAACUACAUUACUCUUUAAUCUUAACUCCGAAGUGUAAGCCAAAGACUGCUUUGGCAUGAAAAAAAAAAAUUAAAAUGAAAAAUGAAAAGCCACAAUGUUGAAUGAUUAAUAGAGAGAUUGUUAGUUUUUUUUUUUUUUUUAUAAUAUUGGGUUGUCUCAAGAUUGUCUCCUACGUGAAUCGAACCCUGGUGCACUUAGUGGGUGCGCAGGAGAGUUUGGCCCACUUUUCUACCAUGGCUCUGUCAAAAUUAAUACUACGGCGCUCACAAAAGCGACUUCAGUAAAGCAGGUAGUGGUGGUGUGUUUCGCGAUUGUCAGGGCCAUGUUCUUGGGGCAUUUUCGGCCAAUUUAGAUGUUCCCUAGUGCAGUUCAUGCUGAAGUUUUAGCGGUCAUUAAGGCCAUUGAGCUUGCUUGGCUCCAUGCUUGGCAUAAUGUUUGGAUUGAAACUGAUUCGUUGUUAGUUACUAAAUUCUUUCGCUCUACACAUUUGGUCCCUUGGCUUCUACGAGUUGAUUGGCAAAUUGCUUGCAUCGUCUCCAACACAUGUCAUUUAAGAUUUCUCAUAUCUUUCGUGAGGGUAAUCAUGUUGCUGAUGCUUUGGUAAAUCAUGGUGCUUUGGCAAAUCAUGGUGCUUUGGGCUCUGGUUUAAUUUGGUGGGAUACUGCACCUUCUUUUAUUUUGCCUUUUUGUCAGUGGGACUGGCUGGGCAUGCCUAAUUACCGGUUCUCCUAGUUUCUUUUGUUUACUCUUUCAGAGUUUUGGUCUCUUAGGUCAGCAUGUUGUUGUGCAUUUCUGUCAUUGUCUUUCUCUUCUGCAGGGUUUGGUUCGGUCCCCCUUGUUGUUCUUGUAUCUCUUUUUUGUUUCUUAUUAAUAAAUUAUGAUCAAGGGGACGGGUGGGGGCUUUCGGAGCGUCGGUCCUCUCUUUGAGGAUGGUGGAUGUUUGUGCAUCUGAUGACUGAUACUGAAGAGCUAAUCUCGCCUAAUCAUUUAGUUUAUUUAUACUAUGGUGGCACCCAUGUGCCACAAUUGAUUGUUAGUUGUUGGCUAUAAAUUUCAUAUACAUCAUAUAUUUCGCGUAAUUGUUAACUUUUACUAAACGGUAGCAAAUCUUCUGAAGUUAAUUAGUACACUAGCUGGAAUCAAAUGGGACGGUGCCCAAUUGUGAUAAAAAGUUGGAGGCAGGAACUUUCUAAAGAAGUAAAUUCCAAAAUUUCACAAUAUGAUUGUCCCUACCGCACAAAUAGUAUGCACUUCUAGAACUUCAAAUUAGGAUGACUUGACUUACAUUUCAACAUGGACUGCCCAUCAUUUUCAUUUGCAUUUAAGAGUCCCACAUACGGAAAUACCAAGAGACGUCCACAUUACAUUGUAUGGUCAGAUAUUAUCUAGUCUUAAUUGCUGCAGCUCAAGUGGGUUUCGAAUUUCAAUUUCUUAUUGAAAAGCAUUCUCAUUUCUUUGAAAACUUCCUCUCUUGGGUUCUCAUACAUAUGAAAUCACAGACACUGUCAAUUUGUUACGAUGUGAGAGAAUGUAGUCGUCCAAAGCACUCAUUGAAUGCACAUGGAAAUUUUAACUUGUAUUCAAACAUUUGGCCAGAAAUAAUUGAGGUUAGUCCACCUCGUGGAUUAAUUGGAAUUUUAAAUUCAAUUUGCAGAUGGUCCUUCCCUUGACUAAAUUACAAAAUUCCUUUGUACAAAAGUAAUGGCUCCCACGUCACAAUGAAUACAACCAAUUAAACAAUUACAAACUUGCAUAAAGCUUUUGAUCACUUGGUUCUAUAAAUACCAUACCUCCUCCUCACUUCUUCACAACCCAAAAUCUCCCAUUUGCAUCAUCUUUCUUAGUCUUCCCUCUUCAUCAAUUACUUUUUUUUAUUCUCACUUUCCAAACACUUUUUACAGAAUCAUGGGUGUGUUCACAUACGAAACCGAGAUCAACUCUGUCAUCCCUCCUGCUAGGUUGUUCAAUGCCUUUGUUCUUGAUGCUGACAACCUCAUCCCAAAAAUUGCACCACAGGCAGUUAAGAGCACUGAGAUCCUUGAAGGAGAUGGAGGCGUUGGAACCAUCAAGAAAAUUAACUUUGGUGAAGGUAAGUUUAGAUUUUUUUUUUUCUUCUUCUGGUUUGUUAUUUUAACGUUACAGAAAUAUUGUUUUGGGGUCAUCUUAUCUCAUAACAGAAAGAUUCAUCUGGUUUAAUGUAUAUAUUUGUGCAGGUAGCACUUACAGCUAUGUGAAGCACAGAAUUGAUGGGAUUGACAAAGAGAACUUCGUGUACAAGUACAGUGUGAUUGAAGGAGAUGCAAUCUCUGAGACAAUUGAGAAGAUCUCCUAUGAGACUAAGUUGGUGGCAUCUGGCAGUGGUUCUGUCGUCAAGAGCACCAGCCACUACCACACCAAGGGAGAUUUUGAGAUCAAGGAAGAGCAUGUCAAGGCUGGCAAAGAGAAGGCCUCUCAUCUCUUCAAGCUCAUUGAGAACUACCUCUUGGAACACCAUGAUGCCUACAACUAAAUAUUCAUAGCUUUAUUACUUGGUGAUAUUCAAUCUUAUGUCCUCUUUGGCAUCAAAUAAUGGUGUGGUUUUUUUUUUUUUCUUCUUCUUCAUUUCUUUCCAAAACCGUGUUUGGCUUGUGCUUGGAGCUUUGGUUUGAAGAUUGAUUAAUACUAUAUUUUCUUUAGUUUCCAAUGAAUAAAAUGAAAAUCAUGGAUAUAUGAUGAUAUUUGCAAGCUCUUUUCUCGUAACAUUGUAAUGCAAAAUGUCAACAUAUCAUAUUUGAAGCGGCAUUUGUCAAUUACCAACGAUCAUAAUAAUUGAAAUAACAAUCGGACCUCAUAUGCGACAUAAUACGAUCAAUUAAUGGGAUGAAAGAAUAUCAUUUCGUUUUUCCUGUUGUAAACCAUUUGAGAAUUCAUACUAUAAAUACCGAUAUCCCGUGUAAGGGACUCUGUAGCUCAAGUGGUUAAGAUCAUUCUGCACGAGAUCCUAGAUUCAAUUCCCCCUCCCCUAAUAUAGCUUGUAUAAAAAAAUAUAAAAAAUAAAUACCGAUAACCCAUGAUGUUGAUAUCAAAGCUUAGAUAAUGAUCAAACAUAGAAUGAAAUGUGGAGGAAGAUAAGAGAAUUGAUAGAUUAAGGGGUGAAAGGUAUGUUAUGUAAACUGCAACACAAAUUUAUAAUUGUUCUUUGGAUGUCGCCCUUGUGAACAGGAAGCAGUCUGUAUCAAUGGAUAUGGAGCUCCAAGUCGAAGUGAUCGAACCUGCAAAACAUAAUUCGCAAAGGAAAGGUAAAACUUUUCACUAUCUAGCGAAAGUAGAAGAGACGAAAAAAGUAAUCUUAUUUAGAGUAUGAGGCACAGCCUACCUCAACACGUCAUGGUAGGUAAGAGAGCUAUUGCAUAUGGCUUCUGAAUAUUUAUGUAUAUUUAAAGGGUCUAGCCGCGCGGCUAUACCUAAAAAAGUUCGCAUACAUUUAAAGAGUAUAGCCACUCGGCUAUACUUUUAAAAUAUUCGAAUAUAUUUAAAUAGUAUAGCCGUGCGGCUAUACUCUUUAAUAUUAGAAAUGACGAUUUCAGGCCUGCGAUUGAGGCCAACUCGAAGCCGCGCGGCUGUACCCUAAACCCUCGAUUCGCACCCUGUUCUUGAUCUCGCGAUCGAUGGCGCCGAUGUGCUCGCUGUGGAGCUGUUGUUUAUUGGUCUGUUUCUCACCUUGUAUGACGUUUUUUGGAUUUCGAAUUCGAUUGGCUGUGCUUUGAAAGCAAAUAGAAAUUCAUAAGCAUGCUGCAAAACAAGGAUUGCUCAGUUUUAAAAAUACAAGUGUAGCUAUUCUUGAUUUUGUGAUGGCUUCUGAUAUUUAGCUAUGUUUUUAGCUUUCAUGUAAGAGAUCAACGAUUGGAUUAGUCUUAAUCUGUGCAGAAAUGGUGUGUGAGGAAGGGAGAAAUUGAUUAAAAAGGUCUGUUGGCUUGGGUCUGGGUCUUGGUUUGCAGAUUGGGUGUACGGUCUGUUGGCAAAGCCUGUCGGGGGUUGGGUGGGGGAGGAAUCGGAGACAGAGACAGAGCAGAGGGGGCGCCGCCAGGGGGCGUGGUUUGGGUGGGGGUUAUUUGUUAUUUUUGUUAUUUUUAAUUUUUUUAAUUUGUUAUUUUCUCUUUUAAAAAUGAAAUUACGAAUUCACCCCUAAUAUUGACGAAUUCCACAACUAUGUAUUGUCUAAUUUAAUUAAACUGCUAUUUAGAGAUAAUAUUCCAUAUAUGACAACCACAAGGUGUGGUGCGAUUGGCAAACUACUACCUCCAGCUGCCGAGCUACCUGAUAUCUCAAUGGCAGGAGUUCGAAACCUGUUAGAAGCACUCUGUAGCCAGGGGCAAGCCAAACCUCGAGCAGAGAUUAAUCCCACCUUUUGAGUGUGGGGACACCUCGUGGUAUUUACCAAAAAAAAAAAAAUUCCAUAUAUGACGUGUACGUUGAUAAGCAUUUAACAAGGUAAGAUUUUGUGUCCAUAUGGCACGUCUUAUCCUGAAAGAAUCUUACACACUAAACUUACACACACUACACAAAUGCUAGGACUCGAACCCAAGACCUCACCUGAGGGAGUAAAUACUCAAAACCACUACACUAGUGGGUCUUUUGCGAGUAUGGAAAAUAUUUGACAAAAAGAAAGAGUGUGGAAAGUUGUGAAUAAGUAGAGAAUGUGAUAUUUGACCAAAAAAAAGUAGAGAAUGUGAUAGCAUUUGUAAGAAAUGUGGGAAAUUUUUUGAAGUAUUUAUUGACAUCUUUUAGGUUUUUAAAAAAUAAUAAUAAUAAAGCCAAAGGCAAUUUUGAAAAGAAAAAAAAAAGGCUGCAUUUCAAAAGGGUUUAUAAUUUUUUUUAAAAAAGAAUUUUAUAUACAUUUAAAAUGUAAAAAAGGGAAGGGAAAAAAAAAGAAGGUAACGUGUCAGAACCAAUUUUUUAAAUAUAUAUUUUAAAAAAAGAAUGAAUUUAAAUACAUUUAAAAAGGUUAAAAUAAAAAAUAAAAAAAUUAACGACUAGCUGACAACAAUGCACCUUUAAUAUUAGCCUUUGGAUUUGCAGUUGCACAAGAUGUUCCAUGCUCAUGCCCAUGCGUAAUACUUUCUCUUCUUAAAAAGCACAUGCGUUGGGCCAACAAAAAAUUUGGCCUGAGCUAUAGUUGGACUACAAGUGGCCUGGUUGGAGGGCUAAAUGCCUAAAUGUGGCCCUCUAAAUUUGGCUAAAUUUUUUUUAGCCUAUAACUGAAGAUGAAUUUUGCAUUAAUUUAGUAUUUGGCCUGUAGCCCACGGCUGAAGAUAGCCUUAUCUUACCUUAUGCAUGCAUUAGAAAGUGUCUGUUUUCUUUUGAGGCCAGAUCAGUCCCAUUAAACAUGCUCUAAGCACUUCAUGAGCUGUUAAAAGUCUCUCAAUUGGUGCUCAAGGUCACAAUUUUUCUUUGGGGUGCUUAUACCCUUUGUAGCUGAAGUUUUUUUCUUUCCUGUUUUGUUUAUCUAAUUUUGGGUUUCAAGACCUCGUUUACAACUGGCAGUCAACACUGGAUUCAGUGGUAUGAUCAAAUAAACCGUACAAUAUUAACAAUAUGAUCAAUAGUUCAAAGUUACAUAAUUGAGUACCAGAUCAACUUUCAACCUUCAAUAUUUCAUGUAAAAUACAACAAUUCAAUCUUUUAAUGUGAUUUCAACUGGAACAUAUUGACUUUAUUAUAAAAUAUAUAUAUUAAAACAAAGUGUGACAUAUAUCAUGAACAACUGGACAAAGAGACACUUGAUGUACCAAGUCCAAGGCAAACCCACACCUUUAACUGACAAUGAAACUGGUAGAACCCAAAUUACAAAUAUAAACAAGUUUGGUUUUAGUUGUAGGCAUCAGGGUUGGCCGUUAGGUAGUCUUCAACAAGCUUGAAGAGACCGGAAGCCUUUGCUUUGCCAGCCUUAACUUGCUCCUCCUUGAUCACCACAUCUCCCUUGGCAUGGUAGUGGCUGGUGGUCUUGAUGAUGGAUCCUCCGUUGGGGGAUGCCACCAACUUGGUCUCAUAAGCGAUCUUCUCGAUUACGUCAGACAAGGCAUCUCCUUCAAUCAAAGUGUAGCUGUAAGAAAACUUGUCCUUGUCAAUCCCAUCGACCCUGUGCUUCACAAACCCGAAUUGGCUGCCUGCAAAUGGAUUAAAACAUAAAUUAGUAAAAUUCUUUGAGUUCAUCUAAGUGUCAAAAAAAAUGUGAACAUAUACAGAGAAUAAGGGGUCAACUAGCUAACCUUCACCAAACGUAAUUUUCUUGAUGGUUCCAACGCCUCCAUCGCCUUCAACAAUUUCAGCACCUUUGACUGCAGAUGGAGCAAUCUUGGGGAUGAGGGUAUCGGCGUCGAGGAUGAAAGCCUUGAACAACCUUGCUGGUGGGAUGACAGAGGUGAACUCUGUUUCAUAUGUGAAAACGCCCAUGAUGAUGAUGAGUUUUUUACUUGGGAAACUGAUCAAAGGAAAAGUUUAAAGGAAUAAGAGAAUAGUUGAACUACAAGGAGGUUGUGAGUUGAAGAAUGAGGAUGCUGAAGGUGAUAUUUAUCGAUCACAUCUAAGAGCAUGAACUGAGUUGAAGGUUCCCAUUUGGUGUGUGAAUAGCUGUCCUUGUACAUUGUUAACCAGUUUAUGCAAGUUGCUAAUAAAAUUGUAUUAGGAUAUGUCCAAAACGGUCAAGGAAAGCUCCCAGAGACGAAUUAAUUUACAAGCCAAUUGGUUCUAGACUGUGUACUAUAUGGGGUCGGGUUCUAGAUGGUCUUCCAAUUAUAAUUUGAAUUUUCAAUAAACAAAUGGUCGGUCAUGAAAGUUAACUACAUCAGCUGUUGUUUCUGAAUCCGUGAGGAAUCAUUUUUUUCCUCCACAAUGGCAACUGGCUGGCAGUCAACAUCGGCUUUAUUUUUUUAUUUUUUAUUUUAUUUUCUAGUCAACAUUGGCUUAUUUUCUUUUUUUAUUGAUACUGUUUUUUCAAUUUUAUAAGGUUUGGAUAUGAGGUGCAGUAAAUUUCUGCCUAGAUUCACUGCAAAAAUCUACUUCACAACCAGACUAAGGAACAUUUACUGAUGUUGCAAAUGUCUUCCAUGACAUAUUGAAUAUAUGCCAGACUAAAAGCAUACUUAGAGCAAUUUCACCUACUGUGCCAUGACAAAGAGCAAGAGCAAGUAAAGGCAGACACUAUUCACAUGAAUAGUGACUAUCCUAGCAAUUUUUUUUGAUGCAUUCCCUCCCACCUAUUGCCAUGGCAAUCCAAGGAUAAUCACUAUUCACAUGAGAUAUUAGGAGAGAAAUUUGUAUGAAUUUUGGUAUAGAAAGUGAAGAACAUGGUUAGGUAUUUAUAUAUAAAAAAAAAAUUAUGAAUUUUUUUCCCUUUCUUUCCCAAUUUUUUUGGUAUUUAAAUUGGUCGCUGACGUCAGCAACUCAGGCAAGUCUUGCCUUUGGGCUUGCCCAGUUUUAUGGGCCCAUUUUUUUCCAUGGCAAAAGGUAAUGGUUGUAAGUUGUUUUUGGAGCCUAAGCCCCAUUUUGCCAUGGCAAAAAGUGAUGGGUGGAAGUGCUCUUAGCAAUUAAUCAAUCUUGUACUUAGGCUGCAUGAGUGAGUGGAAAAGUAUUAGAAAACCAGUGUAACAACAUAUGUUUAAGCCUAUCAGAUCAGAUGUUCAUCUUCAUUCAUCCCACAAACUAAGACUUUAUCAGUCUAUAAGAUGUACAAAUUGACCUUAUUAGUUAAAUAAUUAUGUUAUGUAUAAUGUAUCUGCCAUCAAGUACUCCAAGUACUUAAUUGAGGUUAGCAACUCUGGUUGGCUGGACUAAUUGGGUUAUUAAGAUUAGCUAUUUGAGGCGGCUUCUUAGACUUGAACAGUAAGUCAAUGAAAUUGAAAAUUCUAGCCCCCUUUUCCAAUAGGGACAUUCAUUGAAAACUUUAAUCUACAGGGGAAAUUUCUAACACCAUGACCAUAUGCUUCCAUCUAUAAAUAGCACAUCCAGUGCUCACAUUUUCAAGCAUCAAAUAUCAUCCCUGCCAAUCAUCUAAUCCUUUCACACUUUCAUCUUCUUUGAUCAUUUUCUAAGCUCUAAAAUCAUCACCAUGGGUGUCUUCACAUACUCAGACGAGUCCACCUCAGUCAUCCCCCCACCAAGAUUGUUCAAAGCCCUUGUUCUUGAAGCGGACACCCUCAUCCCCAAGAUUGCUCCCCAAUCAGUUAAAAGUGCUGAAAUUGUUGAAGGAGAUGGAGGUGUUGGAACCAUCAAGAAGAUUAGCUUUGGUGAAGGUUGGUUUCUUCCACUGCCUCUUCCAAGUCUAACUUGUUUGCUUGAUUAACAUAAAUCUUGAAAGCAGUAAGCUCUAAAAUUCUAAUCAAAUCUUCAUUUUACAGGAAGUCAUUACAGCUAUGUGAAGCACCGGAUCGACGGGCUUGACAAAGAUAACUUUGUGUACAACUACACUUUGGUUGAAGGAGAUGCUCUUUCAGACAAGGUUGAGAAAAUCACUUAUGAGAUUAAGUUGGUGGCAUCUGCUGAUGGAGGUUCCAUCAUAAAGAGCACCAGCAACUACCACACCAAAGGUGAUGUUGAGAUCAAGGAAGAGGAUGUUAAGGCUGGCAAAGAGAAGGCAACUGGUCUGUUCAAGCUUAUUGAGAACUACCUUGUGGCCAACCCAGAUGCCUACAACUAAAACCUUAAAUGAAUAUAUACUGCAUGAUGUGCUUUCUCUGUCAUUAUAUUGGUGUGGCUUUCAUUUUUUCCUUUUCUUUUUCUUGUGUAUCAACCCAGAGCUGCUUUGGCUUGCACCUAAGUCUAUGAUAAAUUGUAAUGUGUGUAUUUGAUUUGAUUCUCAAUAAAUAAAGCAAAAAUCAGUUGCUGGUCUUUACAAAUUUGGUCUGCAGUUAGACAAGGAUAUACAAUAAAAGCAGAAGAGCAUAUCUGCUUGAAUAUUUAUUUUGUUCUUUGUUAAAUACCUUUGGGGAACAAUAUAAAAGAAUACAGAAAAUACAUUGUAGCACUCAAAAUAAGAGAAAUUCCAUUUCUGUUUAAUUAAAUGUUGGCCACAAAUGGCUUUGCAAAGUCAGAAGAUUUGAUUGAUAACAAAUGGGCAGCAGAGUGAGUUUCAAAGAAUAAUAAACCUCGUGGUGUGUGGACUUGACUUACCAUAAGAAAUAUGAAGUGUGUGGACUUGACUUCAAUUUGAUUAGAACAGCAAAUUUGGUAGAAGAGAUUACUUGAGAAGAGAAGCGAUUGAAAGUCUAAAUUGGAUGACAUGUUUGUGAAAGUGAUAGGGAGACAAAGCACAAUACAAUAAUGUAUAAUUCCUGCAUUGUGGGGUCUUUGAUGAGGUAGAAGAUUUAUGAUUAAUGGACAUUUGAAGCAGAAAAUGGUGCAGAUGGCUGAUGUUGAAGCAGAGCAUCCUCUGUAUGAUUAGAGAGGACUCAAGUCUACAAGACGUAUACACCAGGCUAAAUUACACGUAUCGUAUUUACUUAUCACAUCUCUUAUAGAAUGAAAAUAUAAUUAUACAUGCCAAUGAGGUCUAGCCCAUUGAAAAAAGGCCUUAAUUUGCAGAUUAGUGUGUUAGAUUUCUUUAUAUACAUGUUCAAGAUCUUUCACACAAUCUGAAAUACGUAAAGACAUACCUAACGCCAUCUUUCUUGAGUACACGACCUCUGCUCUCUCUCAAAAUCUGUUUCAACUCUCUCUUUAUGAUGAGAUUAGGGUUAGAUAACGUGUCUAACGAGAGCAAGACCUUAAGCUUAUAUAGGGCUAUGUCAAGUUGUCUCUACUCAUCACCGAGGGCCGACUUGACUAAUCUUCUAAGCCCACCAAGCAACGAUUCACACAAAAAAGGAAAUUAAUAGAACCCCUUAGGCUUUAAAACCUUUCCUUAGUCCACAAGGUUUCGGGCCUCAAGGUAUAACCUAAUUUAAACUCUUAUUAUCAAAACCGGAUAUAACUUAGUAUCUAGUGCACCAAUCUAAAUAGGCAACAUAACAUAGUGGUCUCAUAUUCGAAUCCUCAUAGUUAUUUGGUAGUGUGUAUGAAAAAUUCCCCCCUCCCCCUCCCCCUUCCCAACUUUGACAAAAACAAAUAUAAUUAAACAUAUGGGUUUUAUAAUUUCUAUAUUUGUAAAAUAUAUAAUACUUUUGUGUGGUUUGCCACACUAUUGUGCCAAGCUUAAGCCCACAAUGAAACCACAAACAGAAGCUCGUUUCGUAUUGACCACAUAGAAGCCCAAAGUGGAGAGCCCACUUAUUUUCUAUAUAAUACUAGAGAGACUGUAUAAUGAGGGGUUAUUUGAUACAUUUUGUAAGAGCAUCUUUAAUAGGCUCUUUAACAACUCCAGAAUGCUAAAAUAAGUGAGCCACAUCAUCAAAAUUCUCUCUAACAACUUUAGAAUGCUAAAAUAGGUGAUCCACAUCAUCAAAACCCUCUCCAACAACCUUAUCAAAGUCAAUCAUCAAAGUUGCAACCUCUUUCCUCUAUUUUCAGGAUUGGUAAGUUGACUUUGAUUCAAAAAUUAAUUUUACUUUGGAAAAAUAAAACCUACCUUGAAAAUAUUAAAACAUGCAUUUUUUUUUCCAGAUAAUAAAUACAUAGAAAUUCUUCACAUAUUUUCAUAUUUUUCAUUCUUUUUCAUAACAUUGCAUUAAUUGAAUUUGAAGAGUCUGAUAUGGCAUAAAUUAUAAAGUAGCAAAUAAACCUUUUCAAAUUACCACAUAAGUCAACAAACUUUAAUUUGAAAAGUUUAGUUUGCUACUACUAUUGGAGAAGAGCAUCUCCAACAGCUUUUUCAAAGACUUUAGGACACUAAAAUAAGUAAGCCACAUCAAAAAAACCUUCUUUAACAGUCCUGUCAAACCCACUCACCAAAUCUAGUACUCUUCCUUCACUCUGCAACAUAUUUAUUAAGCUUUGAAACAACAAAAGCUGUAUUGGAAUGUUAAAAGCCUACAUGAGAUUGAGUUAACAAUAAUGAAUUAUUAUUUAAAUAUUAAGUUGGUAUUAUUAAAUUGAAUAUAAUAUUAGUGUUUGAUUAAAUAGAAAAAGAAAAGUCAAACAUUGAAAUUAAUAAAAUUGAAGAGGUUGAUAGUGAUACAAAAUAGUAAAGUAGCAAAUUUUACCCUUCAAAUUACCACGUAAGUCAACAAACCACAAUUUAAAGAAUUUAGUUUGAAGAAAUUAUUGAAGAUGCUUCGUUUAUCCACAUUAACUCAAUCAUUAAUGUAAUUAGUUAAUACAUUACAAAUAGGGUUUUAUUCUUGUAACAAAGUGAGGCAAAUUAAGUUUUUUUUAGGGAUUUGAUUUCCCCACUCUCCUUUUCUCCACUUACACUAACUUUUUUUUUAAAUACUUUUUAAUCAAUUUUGUUCUUUCUCUUUCCUAUUCUAUCUUUACCUUGCACUAAUUUCUUUUUACUUCACUUUUAUAUUAGUUCUUUUCCUUUAUACUUAAUUUUCCAGCUUGUACUCCAUUUUUAGUAUUUUUUUUCCUUUAAUCGAGUAAUAAAUUAUUAUUUUUCCCUUUAAUACUGAAAAUGGAGUGUAAGUUGAAAAAUGGCCAAAAGUCACUUUUGGUCCUGUAGUUUAGUACUUCAACCACUUUUGAUCCUAUAGUUUCAAUUCUAUCAAUUUUGCCAUUGUAGUUUCGUAUUUGUAACAAUUUAAGGAUAUGUUAGCAUUCUUGUUAAUUUCUUUCAUGAUGCAAGGGGCAAUUUCGUCAACACAAAACCGUUAAGCGUAAAAGCUUGUCUGAAAUUCUCCCAAUGUCAUAUUAGGGCUCAAAAUUCAACCACUAAUCCCAAUUUUUGAAGAACCCUAAACCCAAAUAACCAAUUUCAAGCCCUAAUAUGAAAUUAGGGGAGUUUCAGAAGAUCUUUUAUGCUCAAGGAUUUUGGGUAGACAAAAUUGCCCUAUGCACCGUCAAAGAAAUUGACAGGAAUACUAAUUUGUCCUUAAAUUGCAACAAAUACGAAACUACAGGGUCAAAAUUGACCGAAUUAAAACUACAGGGUCAAAAGUGGUUGAAGCGCCAAACUACGGGGACCAAAAGUGACUUUUACCCAAAAAUAAGUAUAAAGAAAAAGAAAUAACAUAAAAGUGAAGUAAAAAAGAAAUUAAUGUAGGAUAAGGAUAGAAUAAGAAAGAGAAAUAACAAAAUUGAAUAAAAAGUAUUAAAAAGUAAAAGAGAGUGUAAGUUAAGAAAAGAAAAACGGGAAAAUCAGCUCACUUUUUUAAAUAUGAUGAUAUUCUUAUCAAAUUGCACCGAAAACAGUACCGAUUCUGCUAUUUUUGUUUUGUCUUUUUUCCCCACUCUGUUAAUUAUCCAAAUUAUGAGUCCCGCCAACUUUGAAGGUUGUCUUUUAUGUCAAAAAUAAUGCUGAGCAUCUAUUUCCUUUCUCCUUCUCUUUUUGUCCGGACAUUGAGCAUUCAGAACUCUGGCUUUAUUCCUCGCUUAUGUAUUUUGGAACAUAAUUGGUGUUGAUUUUCAACAGUGAAUUGCAAUAUCAUGCGAGAGUACUUAUAGCUAAAAUAAUUAAGAGUAUUUAUUCUUGCAUUUGAGGUCUUACGUUCGAUUCCCCCCUCUCCGAAAUAUUGCUUGUAUUAAAAAUUUUUUGUAAUACUCUGAUCACAGGAACAUUCCACAUGUGCAUUCUAUAUAAUAGUUGGCAUUCGGAGUCGACUAUGCAUGUAGAUAGACAUGUUAAUUUUGGAACAUCCUAUUGGUCAAUUAGAAUAUUAUUAAGUUAGCACACCAGUUGGAAUAAGUUGAAUUUUCCAAAUAAACUUUUAGUGGUGGCGUAAUUUCUUUGACUAAAAUAUUGAUUGAAAUUGGGAAUUAUAUUUUUCCUUUUCACAUGUACAACCACCGCUAAAAAAAAAAUUAAAAUUGUCUAUAUAUGGGAGCUACUUUACACAUAUACCCUUCCCCCUACCCUAUAAAUACCACCUCUGGUGCUCUCACUUCCUCACACCAAUAUCAAACAUUCUCUUAGCUUCCUCACAUCUCAAUCUUUCUUUGAUCAUUUUCUAAGCUCUAAAAUCAUCACCAUGGGUGUCUUCACAUACUCAGACGAGUCCACCUCAGUCAUCCCCCCACCAAGAUUGUUCAAAGCCCUUGUUCUUGAAGCUGACACCCUCAUCCCCAAGAUUGCUCCCCAAUCAGUGAAAAGUGCUGAAAUUGUUGAAGGAGAUGGAGGUGUUGGAACCAUCAAGAAGAUUAGCUUUGGUGAAGGUUGGUUUCUGCCAUUGCCUCUUCUAAGUUUAACUUGUUUGCCUAAUUAAUAACAUAAAUCUUGAAAGCAUUAAUCUCUUAAUUUCUAAUUAUAAUCCUCAUUUUACAGGAAGUCAUUACAGCUAUGUGAAGCACCAGAUCGACGGGCUUGACAAAGAUAACUUUGUGUACAACUACAGUUUGGUUGAAGGAGAUGCUCUUUCAGACAAGGUUGAGAAAAUCAGUUAUGAGAUUAAGUUGGUGGCAUCUGCUGAUGGAGGUUCCGUCAUAAAGAGCACCAGCAACUACCACACCAAAGGUGAUGUUGAGAUCAAGGAGGAGGAUGUUAAGGCUGGGAAAGAGAAGGCAACUGGUCUGUUCAAGCUUAUUGAGAACUACCUUGUGGCCAACCCUGAUGCCUGCAACUAAAACCUUAAAAUGAAUAUAUACUGCAUGUGCUUUCUCUCUCAUUGGUGUGGCUUUCAUUUUCCUUUUCUUUUUUCUGGUGUAUCAAGCCAGAGCUGCUUUGGCUUGCACCUGAGGCUAUGAUAAUUUGUAAUGUUUGUAUUUGAUUUGAUUCUCAAUAAAUGAAGCAAAAAAUCAAUUACUAGUCUUUACAAUACAAUAAUGUAUAAUCCCAGCAAUUGGAUCUUUGAUUAGGUAGAAGAUUUAUGAUUGAUGGGCUGAUUUUGAAGCAGGGUAGCCUCUGUGUGAUUAGAGAGACCUCAACUGUACAGGUAAAAGUAACAUUACAUAUUUACUGUUCACAUCUCUCAUAAAGUAACAUCAUAGCUUAAAACCACAACGGAAGCCCAAAUAGAAACUCGUUUCGCUUAUUUCACUAGGAGCCUGAACGACUGGAUUAUAACCUAACUGUAUAAGCUUCCUUUCUAAAGUAGAGGAAACAGAACGAGUUUCCACAAAACACAAAAUAUCAGGACUACGGGAAGUUUUUAGACUUUUAACAAACUGAAAAAAACAUGGCCGAGAGCAACCUCUACAAUUCCACAAGUAGAAAGAUGGUACCCAGCAGGGCUUUGAAACUGAUCAGGAUCAUUAUUAUUAAAAAUAUCCACAAUAUGAGGUGAAUGAUUGUCAAUAGUUCCAGAUGACCCAUGGGGGAUUAUUGAAUUGACUGGAAUUCCAGCAGUUUUCAUGGCAAAUACCAUUACUGCACCAGCAUUAUCAAGAUUGGACAUAGGUGGAUAAUCAACAAAAACCAUAAAAAGAGCAUUCAAGUAGUGUUCAACAGUGAUAGGAAGAUGGAACUUAACAGCAAACAACGCAGACAUAGAUACAGAUAUAAUGUAUGAACCUAUUUAGAUAAGAUAGAUAAAUGAAAAGCAAAAGAGUUCUACGCCUAACAAAAGAAAGUGAAAAGAUAAAAGUAGUUUUGUUACCCUUAAGAACUAGUGAGAAUAUUAGAAAAAAGAAUCCAGUAGAUUAAAACCAAACAACACACAACAUUACCGUGAUUACUUUGACAGUAAAAAACCCAUCAAGUAUCAAAAUAUACCAAAGUGGUACAUAACCAGAUAAGAAGAACAAAGCACAAGGAUUUAUAUUUAUGGUAAUAACAUGGUUGUCCAACAUUGAGAAUAUAUGUAUAUACAAAAAACCGAAUGAGAUAAGAAAAUAAGACAGAGGAACAUACCUGAUUUUACCAUUGCAAGUAGACACAAAGGAAAGUAUAAAUCAAUCAACAGACCAAAUCCAAGAAAUAAAAGAUGUCAGAUGUCAGAACAAAGGAAAGCAGCCAGAAAUUCCAUCCAUAAGAAAGAUUAAUCAGUGAGAAGAGCAUGCAAGAAACCAUCUCUAGAAUACAGACCCUUUGCUCGAAAUCAUGAAGAGAAAGACUAACACAAAAGCAAGUACGCCUCAGAUAAAACAGAUUACACAAAAGACUAGUAAGCCAAAAAACCACAACCCUCCAUUAAUAACCGAAAACCAGAGCCAAUUUAGGACUGGUUGAAGCAAAAACCAAGAUCCAUUCCAAAAUAAAGUCUGGACUAGAUCUGGAAAAGUACAAUUGUUUCCCCAUCUACCAAUACAUAAAAGCCAGACAAACGAACUAUUAAUUGUAUAUCUAAGUAGGGUAGGUAACGGAGAAGGGCAAGAAGAACUAACAAAAUACCAACAAUUGAAAAGUACAAGGUGGAAUAAUUUGAGAGAAAACCUAGUGCUUGAACUGAAAUUAAAUUUUAUAUUUCAAAUUCAAAUUCAAAAAUAUUAUAAAAGAAAAACUCAUGACUAGGUACAUAAACUUCCUACUUCUUAGCCAUUUGAGCUAAACUUCAGUUCAUCGAUACAAAGUCCAGUUGGAAAUACUUCAUAAUCCCUUGAAAUAAAUAAAUUGUAAGUAAAUAGAUAAAAACUUGAAAGAAAAACAAAAUCAAUGCCAAGUUUUGUUGCACAAAUACUGGAGAGUUAGGUUGCAAGACUAAAGAAAGCAUUCCAACUUUACAAUAAACAGAGGUUACAGAAUACAUCUGCGGAGCACAGAAGAUGUAUAAACAUGUAGCACAUAUGCCUUUCAUGAUUCAAUUUCAAAGGAUAUGCUUUGCAUGUAAAUUCUCUUAUAUAUUACAGGUGAUUUAGACAGAGGGAAUGCAAAACCUAAAGAAUGAUCUAAAAUGGUCUACUUCUCAGAAGAUCUACAAACAUAUACGCUUAUAUAGAUAUCCAAAAUUACAAAUGAAAUGAGCUUUAACAUCAAAUUAAUUAUAUAUUAUGACUCAUAAAAACACCCACUUUUGCUUGCUUGGGUUGAGUAUUGCAUAUAACUUUUGGUUCAUUUUGGAGAAACAUUGGAAAUGUUUACUGCAAAGCAUUUGAUACAGAGUAAAUAAAGUCCAAGAAGCCAGUUCCCUUGAGAAGACCUUUACCAGUCAAGAGUUCAAAAUCUAACAACAAUAGGAACCCAAUCACAGCUGCCUUCCCAUUUAUGAUUUCGUUCCUCGCGGUGAAACCAAACGCCACAUCUAGACCGUCAUCAACCACCAUUUUCACCUGAAUUAACAAUUUAGCACGUCACCACGAAUUGAGCAAAUCAUCGUCAGCAAAUCACAGUUUGACACAUGCACAAAGCCAAGCCACGUACAUUUUUUCAAUGUCUAGUUUCUUAAAGAACAAGAAAAGAAAAAGAAAAAUACCUCAUCCACAUUGACAUCAGUAGCUGUAAAACCCGGUUGAGCCUUGCCACUGAAGACAAUUUCGGCAGCUGCAUCAGAUUGGAGUGAAGCAGCACCGAGGCUGAUGUAAAUGUUUUGGUCAUCAGUUUUGACAGGGUAGACGUAAAGCGUCCUCAAAGCGGGUGUGAGGACUCGGAGCACUGGGUUUUUGGGAUACCACUCCUUAAUGGAUCCGUUGCGCAGAUCAAAUGUGCUAUCAGUUGAUGGGCAAACUAUACACCCAUCCUGCAAUGCAACCAGUAUCAAUAAGUUAACAAACAAUUAGGAUUAGGAACAAAUUAAUUAACUGAAUUAAAAGUAAUUAAUUGGCUUGCCUGGGUGAGCUUGGCGUUGAGAAGGCCUUCGCUAUAAGCCCCUUCAGCAGGGGAGCGAUUCUCAAUAGCAAAGACCUGAUCUUUAUACCACAGCAAGAGUAUGGCUUCCCCAUCUUGAAUUAUGACGCGCCGCUCCCCCCUUGGCAGCGCGGCCAGUGGCACUACCGGUACCCAAUUCUCCCCGCCGCCGCCGCCAGACGCCGACGACGACCCGUCUGCCACCGACACCUCCAUCGCUUGGCACCUCGUCGUCAUUCUCCGACGAGGCACAGAGUGGUAAUUUCGUGCAUUAACACCGUGGUAAGAAUUAUGCGGCAGUAUCUGUUUCUGGGGGCUUAGUAGAGGGCGGGAUGCAGCAGGUGUAGGAUGAGUAGUAAGAUGGUAAUUUGGGGGCAAUGCGGGGGCGAAGGGUGAAGUAGAGGCCAUGGAAGAGUGUUUGGGUGGUGUUGGAUAGACAAAAGAGUAAGGGAGGGGAGGAGAGAAAGUGAAGGGUUCGUGUAUUGGAUAAGGAGUAGGGAUGCUCGCUGCUAUUCACACAGUCGCUCAAAAGUCACUGUGAUCAAAGUUGGCCACGUUGUCAUUUAACAGAGCAUUACACGUGUGACAUUAAUAGAGGACUUAGGGAAAGUUACAAAGAUAUGCCAAGUUUCUUUUAGUUAUAAAGAUUGAAUUCAAAUAAAUACACACUCCUCAUAGCUUAACACAAAGACAGCUUUGGCUUGAUAUAAAAAACGAAGCAAAACAGUAAAAUCAAGAAACUCAAAUGAUUUUCCUUCCCCACCCUUCCCUCCUACUCUCCCCUCUCCCCUCCUCUCUUUCUCCACCCUAACCCUUCCCCUCCCCUCCACCCCUCCUCUCCCCCUCGUUCCUUCCUUCUCUCUUGGGGUUGUUUACAUAUACUCUUUGUGAGUUGGAUGUUUGUUUGUAGUCUAGUGACUCUAGUCUAUACUUGUACUUUCUACUUAUGAGAGUUUAAAAGUUGUAGUUGUAUUGAUAGUUUUAGGCACUACGGUUCAUGUUUGGCAUGUUCAAACUUGCCGCUUUUAUACCGAAAUUUCUUUAGCCUUAUAAGACUAUUAGUGGAGAUACACUUUAUACACUUGUUGUUGCCAAUGUGUUUCUACGUAUCUGGAUUAACCUUGCUUUAGGCACUAUUGCAUAGCCAAAUCCAACUUUUGAAAUUUUUUUUUAAUACCUAAAUAACCCAAUGGAUUUCAAAUCCUUAAAAGAAAAAGGAAAAAAAAAAAGGUAGCCCAUGUACUCCAACUAGCCUUUUGUAUAUUAUUUUAUUGAAUUUUGGUGUCCAUAAUUUGCAGGGUUAUUUAUUUAAAUGGUCCUCAAACUUAUACUCUAGUUGCAUUUUGGUACCUCAACUAAAUUAUUUGUUCAAAUGAUCCACCAACUCUUUAUUAAUCGAUGCACUGGUCCUACCAUUACAUUUUCUUUUAAAUUUAGUCAUGUGAGUAGCACAUGUUACAUUUGUGAGGGUAAAUAAGACUUUUGACAACUAAAAAAAUUAAAAUAUAUGAUUAAAAAUUAAUAAAAAAUUCUUUAUUUUUAAAAUUAAUAAAACAACAAAAAGUAACCCACAAAAUAAAAUAAAAUACACCAGCCCACCCAACCCCACUCCCAUCUCAUCAACCCAACCCCUAUAUUUGACGGCAAUAUUGACAGAAUGUAAUGGUAGGACCAAAGUCCCGAUUAAUGAAGAGUAGGUGGACCAUUUUAAUGAAUAAUUUAGUUGAAGGACCAAAAUGCAACUCAAGUAUGAGUUUAAGGACCAUUUGAGUAAAUAACCCUAAUUUGCAUUAUCCAUAUAUCCUUUAUAAGGAGGCACAAGUGGGCUCUAUUUUUUCAUUUGGGUCAUUUUGAUCUAGGCUCUUUGUAGCCUCUAGUGGAUUAUAUUGGGUCUUGGGCAUUAGGGUUUUCAUUUAGAACUUCGACCCCUUUAUUCAGAUUCCAAGAGUAUCAAUGUUUGUUAACAGGGUCUAGUCUAGUGGAUAAGGACCUUGAUUUGCAAAUUAGAGAUCUCAAGUCGGAACUCCCAUGACAUCUUGGUUGUGUGUGUACAUGUGAGAAACCCCCUCCCUUUAGUUUAGACUGUCGCUUGUACUUUAAAAAAAAGAGUAUUAUUGUUUGAGUAGCUUUCAUUUAGGUACUCAUAUCCUCCCAUGAUUGCCUAUAUCCCAUUUUUUUCAAUUGAUGAAUAGCGAUGUGUGUAUAUGUAUGUCGGUUGUUGUCUGUGGGUUGGAAUCUAUUAAGGUGGUCGUAACUUGCAAGCAGUCUGACAGUUAGCCUUAGUCAAAAUAUCAUAAAUAAAAAGUAGAUUUUGUUGAAUUUUCAAUAAAAAAAUUUCCAAUUGGAAAAAUUGGCCUAAAAGUUAGCCCCUGUCAUUUCUUAUUCAUGGAUAUGUGCCUGUGCGGUUACUGUGUUUUCUCUUUAUAUUAAUCUUUUUUGGGUAUUUUUAUUAGCUCUUGUGACUUAUGGUCUUUGUGUCAAAUUUAUGAAUAUAAUUAUAGCUUUUCUCUAUAGUUUUACUUGUAGGCAUCAAGGUUGCCUCAAAUGGUACUUCUCAAGAACCUUGAGCAAACCAAAAGACCAUUUCUCGAAUUAUGCGUGUCCUUCUUAUCAUUCCAAUUUUAUCGAAUCUUUACUUUAUAUUAGGUAAAGAAAAGAUUGAAAUUUACGAAACUGGAGAAAAUAAAUACUGCAGACUAAAUUUAGAUCUAGAAAGACUACCAUGAAAUGAUAAAUAUAAUGAUAAAUAUAAAAUUCAUGUUUUAUUUAUUGAUAUUGAAAUCGAAUACAGCAUUAUUCGCUAAUCAUGACUCCAAAGUGUAAGCCAAAGGCCUAAUUUGGUAUGAUACAAAAGAAAAAACUGAAAGCCACACCGCUCAAUAAACAGAGAAAGCAGGGCACAUGUUGUUGCCCCUAUAGCAUGCAGUAUAUAUAUGUAUAUAUUUUAGUUGUAGGCAUCGGGGUUGGCCACAAGAUAGGUCUCAAUAAUCUUGAACAAAGCAUGGACCUUCUCUUUGCCGGCCUUAACAUGCUCUUCCUUGAUCUCAACAUCACCUUUGGUGUGGUAGCUGCGGGUGUUCUUUAUGAUGGAACCUCCAUCUGCACUGCAGAAUGCAGAUGCCACCAACUUAAUCUCGUAAGAGAUUUUCUCUAUUUUGUCUGAAAGACAGACAAUAUAGGUGGAAAGUAAACAAACAUUCCCCAAAGUUAGUCUUGUUGAUGGUUCCAACUCCUCCAUCUCCUUCAACAAUUUCAGCACUUUUAACUGCUUGUGAAUGGGACUAUGCAGAGGGGACCUUGCACUCAAAGAUUGCCACACCUGUUUCAACGACUCUGUUUCCAUUCUCUUGCAAUGCAGAAUUGCACUAAUCAGAAGGGAACAGCGCUGUACGAUUCCAUACUCGAACAUGUCAAUUUUCAAUGUCGAUGAAGACGAGCCUGCUAAGUUUGUGCCGAGCCGAAAUGGGCUGAAGAGAGUUAACAGAGUUAAAAUAAUGUUACGUGGUGUGCCAUAUGUCACAAAACUAAGGAGGAAACAAGCGGCACAAGGGAUUUGGAAACAGGAAAAUAAAGCCUCCCGUAGAAGUUGAUUUGAAAAAUUCAACUUAUUCCAACUGGUGUGCUAACUUAAUAAUAUAAUAAUUGGCCAAGAAAACUUAAUAAUAUCUUGAUUUCUAACAGGAUGUUCUAAAUGCCAAGCGAUAAUCUUGAAUGCACAUGGAAUGUCCAAAAUCUAAUGGAAAGUUCCAAAGUACAUGUGCAAGGAAUAUAUUCAGAGUUCUAAUUUCCAAAAUACAUCUAAUGUUAUUAUUCACAGUUUUGGGCAUAAAAGACAAGCAUGAAAUUUGGUGGGACUGUUUGCAUCAUUAGAUGCUUCAAAGUUACAAAUCAUAUUUUGGAUAAUUAACACAGUGGGAUAGAAAGGACGAAACAAUAUUUUUGUUAGAGCUGCCAUGCUUCAACUCUGCCUUCUGUUCUGUAUCUUCUGCUUCAAAAUGUCCAUUAAUUAUAAUUUUUUACUUCACUUAAGGAUCCAAUCCAACUGUAACAUGUCUUCCAAUUUAAACUUUCCAUGGCUUCUCUUUUCAAGUAAUUUAUUUUACCAAACUGCUCUAAUCAAGUUGAAGUCAAAGUUUACUCACUUUAUAUUUCUUUUUAUUAAGUCAUGUCUAUUUCAAAACUGUUAAGUUGAGACCAUAGUCCAAACGUGGGUUAGACCGGUUGAUCAAGGCGAUGUGUCUAUUCCUUUGUAUCCGAGUUCGUUUUCUCUCUUCAAAAAUUAGGCUAGUUUAGAAUACGGUUGUCAAAACAACAAAAUUGAGAAGAUUGAAAUUCACGGAAUUGAAGAAAGAAGAUACUGCAGACCAAAUUUGCAGAGACUACCAUGAAAUGAUUUAUAGAAAAUUUAUGUUUUAUUUAUUGAAAUUGAAAUCGAAUACAACAUACUCUUUAAUCAUGACUCCAAAGUGAAAGUCAAAGACCUACUUUGGUAUGAUAACAAAUAAAAAUAAAAUGAAAGGCCACACACACUGCUCAAUAAACAGAGAAAGUAGGACACAAGUUGUUGCCCCUAGAGCAUGCAGUAUAUUUCAUUUAAGGUUUUAGUUGUAGGCAUCUGGGUUGGCCACAAGGUAGUUCUCAAUAAGCUUGAACAGACCAGUUGCCUUCUCUUUCCCAGCCUUAACAUCCUCCUCCUUGAUCUCAACAUCACCUUUGGUGUGGUAGUUGCUGGUGCUCUUUAUGACGGAACCUCCAUCAGCAGAUGCCACCAACUUAAUCUCAUAACUGAUUUUCUCAACCUUGUCUGAAAGAGCAUCUCCUUCAACCAAAGUGUAGCUGUACACAAAGUUAUCUUUGUCAAGCCCGUCGAUCCGGUGCUUCACAUAGCUGUAAUGACUUCCUGUAAAAGGAGGAUUAUAAUUAGAAAUUAAGAGAUUAAUACUUUCAAGAUUUAUGUUAUUAAUUAGGCAAACAAGUUAAACUUAGAAGAGGCAAUGGCAGAAACCAACCUUCACCAAAGCUAAUCUUCUUGAUGGUUCCAACACCUCCAUCUCCUUCAACAAUUUCAGCACUUUUCACUGAUUGGGGAGCAAUCUUGGGGAUGAGGGUGUCAGCUUCAAGAACAAGGGCUUUGAACAAUCUUGGUGGGGGGAUGACUGAGGUGGACUCGUCUGAGUAUGUGAAGACACCCAUGGUGAUGAUUUUAGAGCUUAGAAAAUGAUCAAAGAAAGAUUGAGAUGUGAGGAAGCUAAGAGAAUGUUUGAUAUUGGUGUGAGGAAGUGUGAGCACCAGAGGUGGUAUUUAUAGGUAAAUGGGGAAAGGCCAGAUUUGUAAAAUGGCUUUCAUUAAUAAAGGAAUUUAGACAAGUUUAUAAUUUUCCAAUGGUUCUUGUCCAUGUGAAAAGGAAAAUAUGAUUUUCAAUGAAAUACAGCAAUAUUUUAGUCAAGGAAAUAAAGCUUCCAGUAGAUGUUGAUUUGAAAAAUUCAACUAUUCCAACAGGAUGAGGGUGUGCUAACUUAAUAAUAUCUUGAUUUCUAACAGGAUGUUCUAAAAUUAACUUGUCUGUCUAACAAGCAGAGUCUAUUCUGAAUGCACAUGGACUCUUUUCAUGAUCAAAUUCAAAGAAGCAUUGCAAGCAACUCAUAACUAAAACAACUUAAGAAGGAUUAGUUACAUCCUUUAUCUCUUUUUGUUGACUAAUCACAUAGAUAUCUGCUUCAACUCUGCCUUGUGUAUCAUCAUUAAUUACAUAUUUUACCUCACUUAAGGAUCCAACUGCAGAGAUUAUAUAAUAGUGUAUUGUGAUUGGCUCCCUAUCCCUUUCCUAGACGUAUCAUGUCGUCUAAUUUAGACUUUCCAUGGCUUCUCUUUUCAAGUAAUUUCCUUUACCAACCUUGCUGCUCUAAUCAAGUUGAAGUCAAGUCUAUACUUUAUAUUUCUUUUUCGUAAGUCAAUGUCAAAAUUGUAAAGUAAAGACCGCAAUGUACACGUGGUUAAGCCGGUUGGUUCUGCCCUUUUCACUCGAGAUGAUACUCUUCUCAUAAAUUAUAGUAGUUUAAAUUUUAAAAUAAUAAUAUUUAUAAAUAAAAAAAGUUGAGACCUUAGUUUGUUAUAUUUCGAAAUUCUCUACCCUUUCCUUUGGUAUUAUAAUUAAAUGAUUUUUGCUUUAUUAAUUGAGAUUGAUCAAAUACAAUACUACAAUUUAUCAUAACCCCAAAUGCAAGCCAAAGACUGCUCUGGCUUGACAGAAGAAAAAAGAAUGUGAAAAGGACGUUAGAUUUUUCAGUUGAUUGAAUGAGAAUAUUAUUGAGUCAGCAAACUCAGCACACCAGAACAUUCUAUGAAAAAAUUCCAGCUAGUUGUAAUAAGUUGGAAUUUUUAAAAUCAACUUGUAGAGGUGGCUUUGUUUGACUAAAAUAUUCACAUGGGAAACAACCACUGAACUUUAUAUCCAUUGGGCUCACUUUACACAUCAGACUCUUCACCCUAAACCUAUAAAUACCACCUCCAGUGCUCAUAGCUUCCAACAUCAAGUAAUACCUCGAAUUUCAUUCUUAUUUUUUAUCAUUUCCUAAGCUCUUAAAUCAUCAUCAUCAUCUAUCAUGGGUGUCUUCACAUACGCAACCGAGUUCACCUCAGUCGUUCCUCCUGCUAGGUUGUUCAAAGCCCUUGUUCUGGAUGCUGACAACCUAGUCCCAAAGAUUGCUCCACAAGCAAUUAAAAGUGCUGAAAUUGUUGAAGGAGAUGGAGGUGUUGGAACCAUCAAGAAGACUAGCUUUGGUGAAGGUUUGUUUACUUCCCACCAUUGUCUGUCUCUCUACUAAUUAACUUGGUUUUCAAGUUAAUAUGUAUCUUGAAAGCAUUAGUGUAAUAAUUUCUAAAAAGAUUGACAUUAACCAUCCUGAAAUUUUGAAAUUACAGGAAGUGAAUACAGCUACGUGAAGCACCAAGUUGACGCGCUUGACAAAGAUAACUUUGUGUACAACUACAGUUUGAUUGAAGGAGAUGCUCUUUCAGACAAAAUAGAGAAAAUCUCUUACGAGAUUAAGUUGGUGGCAUCUGCAGAUGGAGGUUCAGUAAUAAAGAACACCAGCAGCUACCACACCAAAGGUGAUGUUGAGAUCAAGGAAGAGCAUGUUAAGGCCGGCAAAGAGAAGGCCCAUGCUUUGUUCAAGAUUAUUGAGACCUAUCUUGUGGCCAACCCUGAUGCCUACAACUAAAACCAUCUAUAGGUGCAACAGUCUUGUGUCCUGUUUUCUCUGUUUCUUCAGCAAUGUGGCAUUCAAUUCUUUUUUCUUCUUUAUCAUUUGAAUUGCACUUUUGGAGUUAAGAUUGAAGAGUAAUGUUGUACUUAAUUUCAGUCCCAAUAAAUAAAUAAAACAUAAAUUUCAGUACUUCUGUUUUCCCCUUUUGAGUAAUUGUUACCAACUAACAGUAAACUGUUUUUUUAAUUCAAAACUAACAAUGACUGAGGAAGGCUAAGAUUUUAAGUGAAUCAAUUUUCUUGACAACAUGACGCUGGUGCAGUCAUAUCUUCACUUAAACGUGAAAAACCCCCAAAAAAUUUUUAUACUGAAAUGCUUUAAAAUGAGGCUGAGCACAAGGGCGGACUCGGGAAAUUUUAUAGGUUGGACUAAUAUCUUUUAAUGGGAGAUUUACCUUUUUUUUUUCUUUUUAAAAACAUGUUUACAUGGUUUUUUUGAUAAGGGGUUUACAUGGUUAAUUGGCUAUAGGCUAUAGGUUUUUUUUUUUAUAUGCAAAGAAAAUGAGUGGUAGCAACUAUUCUUCAAUUAAUAAUUUUUAAAUUUUAUGAGAGUACACAUAGACGUAGGGAGUGUAGAUACAAUUGCACAAUCACAAGCUACAAGCAUUCAACAAAACCAAGAGACAACUAGACUAUAUAAAAGCAGACAUGGUUAAGCCAGUUGUCAAAAUUGUAAAAUAAGGAUUUCUAUGUAGGCUUAUCUUUUGAGGUGCCAUUUUUUGUGAAAAUCCCACAUAAAAAAUCCACACUCCUAUAAAGGUGUUUAUAAACAAAGCCCUAUGAUGAUUUGAUAAGUGUGGUUAACAUUGGAGAGUUGGGCUCAUGGGCUUGGCUAUAGGCUCGGCUUUGAUUAAUAAUAAUUAUAUCAAUCAAAGACUAGGGCCUUGGGGCUCUUGGGAUCGGGAGAAAUUUAAUUAAGACACCUAAACGAAAAUAAGUAAUUUAAUGGGAUACUUUUUUUUCUUUUAAAUAUUUUUCCCCGAUUUUCGUUUAUCGAUAAGAGUAGUUUAAGACACCCAGAGUAAUUACCCGUACAAAAAAUACACAUAUUUUUAACAAAAGUUUCAAUAAGACACAAAUUAACGUGUAUAUAGUAUAGCCAUGCUCGGUUCAUUUUAAUUUUUUUGUAAAACUAGUAUAGCCGGUCGGCUGUACUCGGUUUUUCUGAAUUUUUUAAAAUAGUAUACCCGGGCGGCUAUACUCGAUUAUUCCCUAAUUUUUUAAAAAAAUAGUAUAGCCGGGUGGCUAUAUCUAUUUUGACACAUGGACGUCUGAUCGCAAGGGGGUCCACUUUUUUUACGUGUACAAGUAGUAUAGCCGCACGGCUAUACUCGAUUUUUUUUUUCUUAAAAAAUAGUAUAGCAGACCGGCCAUACUCGCUUUUUUCUUUUUUAAAAAAAAAAAUACCUCUCAUGACAAAAUAUCGUGGGUAGAGGUCUAUGCUGACAAAGGUUUGCCGGAUUAGACACCUCCUGACGAAAUUUGCCUAUGUCGACGAAAUAUUGUCUGCAAAGAUCUUCCAGCAAAUUUCGCCGAGAUAGACAUUUGUCGACGAACUUUCGUACGCAGAGAUUUAAAAAAUAAAUAAAUAAAAACUUAGUAUGUUUAGGUUAAUUAAUUUUUUAAAAUUUUAUUUUUAUUAAUUAAAUAUUAUCUUUGCCCAAUUAUUAUUUCUUUAAUGAAUAAUUGGUAUUAAGUAUUUUAAUUGACUUCAUGAAUUAUAUUACUCAAUAAAUAGUAAUUCAAAGUUUCUAUUUUUAGAGUAUAAUCGCGUGGUUAUACUCUUUAAAUAUAAUUUCAUAUUGCACCAACAACAAAAAUAAGGGUUUCUAUGUAGGCUUAUCUUUUGAGGUGCCCUUUUUUGGUGAAAAUCCCACAUCGAAAAUUCACGCUCCUAUAAAGGUGUUUAUAAAUAAAGCACUAUGAUGGUUUGGUAAGUGUGGUUAACAUUGGAGAGUUGGGCUAAUGGGCUUGGCUUUAGGCUCGGCUUUGAUUAAUAAUAAUUAUAUCAAUCAAAGACUAGGGCCUUGGGGCUCUUGGGAUCGGGAGAAAUUUAAUUCUUGGGAUCUGGAGAAAUUUAACUAAGACACCCAAACGAAAAUAAGUAAUUUAAUGGUAUCCUUUAUUUUCUUUUAAAUAUUUUACCCUGAUUUUCGUUUAUCGAUAAGAGUAGUUACCCAGAAUAAUUACCCGUACAAAAAAUACACAUAUUUUAAACAAAAGUUUCAAUAAGCUACACAAAAUCAACGUAUUAUACAAAUAAUUCUCACCUAUUAUUGAAUAAAAAUAAUAUAUAUUCAAAUAUUGUAAAGUGACCAAUUUUUAAGUUGUAAAGGGAUCCCUUUUUUUAUUUGUAUUUUAAAGAAAAAUUUUAUUUUUCGGAUUUUUUUUUCAAAAAUAGUAUAGCCGUGCGGCGGUGCUCUCUUUUUUCUAAUUUUUAAAAAAUAGUAUAGCCGAGCGGCUAUACUUAUUUUGACCCGUGGGCACCUAACCGCAAGGGGGUCUUUUUUAAUGUGUAUAAAUAGUAUAGCCGCACGGCUACACUCAUUAUUUGAUUUUUUUUGUAAAAAUAGUAUAGCCGGUCGGCUGUACGCCGUUUUUCAUCUUUUUAUUUUAUAAAUAGCAUAGCCGGUCCGCUAUACUCGCUUUUCCCUAAUUUUUUUCAAAAUAGUAUAGCCAGGCGGCUAUACGUAUUUUGACACGUGGGCACUUAACCGCAAUAGGGUCUUUUUUAACGUGUAUAAAUAGUAUAGCCGCACGGCUAUACUCAAUUUUUUUUUUUUGUAAAAAUUGUAUAGCCGGUCGGCUGUACUCGGAUUUUCCUUAUUUUUUAUAUAUAAAAAAAUUAUAAAAAAAUUAUAAAAAAAUUCUUCAGUUAGCCUAUCCCACCCCAAUCGCCCUCUCCCUCCCUCUCCCCACCAACCCCAACCUUCUCCUUUGGCGAAAUCCCAACAGUCAACACCAUGACCUUACAAACAAUUAACUCUCAUUCUUUAACCAAAGAAAAACUCUUCUUCUACUGCCAACGAAAAAAACACUCCCCUUCCUAUCACCCACAAAAAAAAAAAAAAACACAUUGAUUGCUCUAUCUAUUCCAAAAAAUGAAAACACAUUUGCUUUAUUUUAUUUUUAAUUUCAAAGACUGCAAGAGAGGUGUUAUUUGAGUUUGAAAUUAAAAGGAAAGAAGGAGACAAAGGAAGAAAAGGAAAUGGCCAUGGAUUUCUGUCAGUUUUAGAGUUUCCCAAAAGCUCAAAGUUGAUGUAAUUAUGGGACUACUUGAGCUUCAGAGUUAGAGAAGAAAGAAAAACAAUUGGAUUAUGUGUGAUUGAAAAUAAAAUUAGGGUUAUGAGUUUGUAAGUUUAGAUUUUCUUAUGGUUCCUAAUUUCUGAAGAACACAGGGAGAGAAAGAUGUUCACUUUGUUUUCUUUGGUGGGUUGGGUAUGAAGAUGGGUGUGGAUUUCGAACAAAAAGAAAAAGAAAAAGAAAAUAUGGGUUGGGGUGCAUGUGAGAGAGACUGAGGGAGUUGUUCUCAUUAGUCAUUUUACAAAGGGGUAAAUUUGUCUUUAAAAUUUUGAAAAUAAGAUGGGUAGGAAAAUAAGACAGAUAGAUGGAAAUAGCAGGACUCUAACUUUUAAAUUGUAAAGGGGUCCCUUUUAAAUAAUAAUAAUAAUAAUUUUUUUAAAAAAAAUAGUACCGCCACACGAUUGUACUCUAUUUUUUUCCUAAUUUAAAAAAAAAAUAGUAUAGCCGGUCGGCGAUACUUAUUUUGACACUUGAGCACCUAAUCGCAAGGGGUUCCUUUUUUUAAGUGUAUAUAUAGUAUGGCCGCACGGCUAUACCUGGGGUUUUUUUUGUAAAAGUAGUAUAGCCGGUCGGCUGUACUCAGUUUUUCCUAACUUUUUUUUUAAUAAAUAGUAUAGCCGGGCAGCUAUACUUAUUUUGACACUUGGGCGUCUAAUCGCAAGCGGGUCCACUUUUUUACGUGUACAAAUAGUAUAGCCGCACGGCCAUACUCGGUUUUUUUAAAAAUAAAAAAUAAAAAAUUCUAGCUGGUCUCCUGUACUCGGUUUUUUCUUCUUUUUUUUUAAAAAAACCUCUCUCGACGAAAGAUACCUCUGCCGACGAAAUUUGUUGGGAAAGGUCUCCGGCAAAUUUUGCCGGGAUAGACAUGUGCCGACGAACUUUCGUCGGAAGAGAUUUUUAGAAAAAAUAAAUAUAAACUUAGUAUGUUUAGGUUAAUUAAUUUUUUUAAUUUUAAUUUUUAUUAAUUAAAUAUUAUCUUUGCCUUAUUUUCAUUAUUAUUUCUUUAGUGAAUAAUUAGUAUUAAAUAUUUUAAUUAACUUCAUGAAUUAUAUUACUCAAUAAAUAGUAAUUCAAAUUUUCUAUUUUUAGAGUAUAGUCGCACGGCUAUACUCAUUAAAUACAUAUUGCAUCAACAAUAAAAAUAAGGAUUUCUAUGUAGGCUUAUCUUUUGAGGUGCCCUUUUUUGUGAAAACCCCACAUUAAAAAUCCACACUCCUAUAAAGGUGUUCAUAAACAAAGUACUAUGAUGGUUUGGUAAGUGUGGUUAAUUACCCAUACAAAGAAUUUAGCACUUUCACGUUUAAUAGUGUACAUGUACGUACGUAUUUUUCAUGUUUAAUACAUGUAUUUUUAAAAAAGUUUCAAUAAGACACACAAAAUUAACGUAUUAUACAAAUAAUUUUCACCUAUUAUUGAAUAAAAAUAUUAUAUAUUAAAAUAUUAUAUAGUGACCUAACUUUUAAGUUUUAAAGAGGUCCUUUUUUUUAGUUAAAAAAAAGUAUUUUUCUGAUUUUUUUUUUUACAAAAGUUUUUCCUUUAUUUCCCGUUUUUUCUAAAUGUCCAUCUUAGCAGUUCACACGCUAUAAAAGAAAAAAAAGAAACUACUAAAAUGGACGUCUAGAAAAAUACGGGCGAUAAAGGAAAACUUUUAAGACGACGAUUUAUCACACAUGCGCGAUUAAAAUAUGAAACUGUUGAAAUGGACAUCUAUAUAAAUACAAUUGCAAAAAAAUAUUUACGAAACUUUAUAAGUUGCGCGUAGUGCGUGUGAUUUAAAAAAAGACUCUCGCCUAAGCAAAAGUGUGUGCAUGGAGGCUAAUAUAUAUAUAUAUAUAUAUAUAGUACAACCAUUCAACUAUACCUGAUUUUAUUUUUUUAAUUUGUUAAAAAAAAGUAUAGCCGCGGCUAUACUCUGUUUUAUUAAUGUCUCUAAGAAAGUAGUGUAGUUGCUAAAGUCAUUCUAGAUUAUGUUUACACUAUUGUUUGGGGUCUUUCCAAGAAUGCUUCUGUUGGGGUCUUUUCCGUCGGAAGGCUCAUCCGGGCUUGUUGAUUCUUGGACCGUCAUAGAGUGGUGAAUCAAGCCUUCAUUGUCCCUUUCUGAGUUAGCAAGAAAUAGGCCUAAAGUAUCCCGAGGGAGAAGCAAGUCCUAGGGGAGUACUUUGUUCUUCUUUCAGCGACUGCGUGCUUUGUAUGGAUGUUUUCAGCCGCUUGACGAAGAGUAGAAGAUGGUGCAUUGAUGUUAAACAGACUUGGCAUGAGAGUUUGCUUUGUGAAUUAAGAUACUACUAGACUUGGCAUAAGAUGUUAGGUGUUUUAGAUAUGGGAUUGAGCUUUUUUGAGAGAGAGAGAGAGAGAAAGAGAGAGAAAGAGAGAGAGAGAGAGAGAGAGAGAGAGAAAGAGAGAGAGAGAGAGAGAGAGAGAGAGAGAGAGAGAGAGAGAGAGAGAAGAUGGGUGGCUUGAGUAGAUUUCCAGCAGCUUGACGAAAGCUUUGUCAGGCUCUUGGGUGGCUUACCAGAAGAGAAAAAAAGGGAAGAAAUAGAAUAAUAGAGCUUGAAAUAGAAAGUUUCCAGAGGUGAGUGGUGAUGCUUGCUCUCUCUGGAUGUGUUUAUGGGAGGGAGAGGAAGAAUAUGGAAGAACACGCCUUGAGAUUGAAGCUUCCAGCAAUGAGUAAGGGUGUUGCUUGCUUUGGCUGAGUUGAAGAUGACUUGCUGACGUUGAUAUGAGAUUAUAUGAGCUUAGCAUGAGAGCUUAGAGUGUGGGAGCUAAAGACCCACAAGUUUAGCAAAUGAGAAUGUUUGUGCUUAGGUUGGUGUUUGAUAUGCUUGAGUUUGGGUGUUAGGAAUUUAUUGUUUAAAGUUAUGGCUAUGGUGGUUUGAUUGUUUGGCUGUGAUGGUUGUUGGGAUGCUUAUAGCAGUCAAAUGAAUGGGGUUUCAAAGAGCAUGGCUAAGGAAAGAAAAACUUAAGACUUUGAAGGGUAUGGUGUUUAUGACAAUGAUUCUAGAGAAAUUUAUGAGUUUUAGAGGUGGAAGGAUAAAAGGAAAAGCUUGAGGCUUGAAAGCUAUAGUGUUUAUAGCUUGGAUGGGUAUGAGAAUGAAGGAAAAGCUUGGAGUUAUGGUUUGUGAGUCUUUAUAGGGACAAUGGAGGAUUUCAAUGACAGGAAAAUAGAAGAAAUGGUUGUGAUAGCUGAGAAAUAGCUGGGAUGGCAGCUGGAAUGCUUGCAGUGGCUGAAUGGAGGAAAGAAAGUGGUCUGGUGGUUGUUGAAUGGGGUUGAUGGCUAGGUGAAGCUAGGUACUAUAAACUAAUUAUUUCCUAUGGGUAAAAGGAAGCACUGGAGACUGUUUGUUUCCAGUGGGUAAUAGGAAGUGCUCGAAAAGGCUUGUUUCCAACGGGUAAAUCUAGGCAUUUGGAAAAUAACUAUUUCCUAUGGGUAAAAGGAAGUGCUUGAAAAAUAUCUCAUUUGCUCACCCACAUUGGAGAACUCUAAGUAAUGGACUUGGACUUUGGUGCUCCCAAGUAGCUAGCCCAAAGUCUCCAUUAUCUAAGAGCUUCUGUGGGCCUUGUGGACCUCCGUAACCUUCCAUAUCACCACCCAUCAUUCAAGCCCCAUAAACCACAUGACUUGAGUUCAUGUGAGCUUGAUAGGUGAUUGGCAUGAGAAAAAUGUAUUAUUAGUUUGGCAUGGCAUGUGCACUAUUUCUAAUUUAUUUAAUGAAUUAAAUCUCAAAAUGCAACUUGGAUUAACACAUGACCGACAUUAUUUGUUAUAUUGGGCUUUAAAUGUCUUUGGGCUUCCCGUGACUUCUUGGGCCUCAACAGCUUCUUAAGGAGGUAGCCAUUCUUUUGUCUUCUUUGUUGAUGAGUUCUCUAGAAGAGUAUGGUUGUGCAACAUGAAGCAUAAGUAUGAAGUCUUGAAGAUAUUCAUGAAGUGGAAGAAGAUGAUUCAAACUCAAAGUGGUUCAAAAGAUCAAGACUCUUAGAUCAAACAAUGGCGAUGAGUGUAGGUCUGAUCCUUUCUUGAAAGUUUGUCAAGAUAAGGGUAUUGUGAGACACUUCAUGGUUAGGGAGACACCGCAACAGAAUAGGGUGGCGAAACCUAUGAAUUAUACUUUGCUUGAGAAAGUGCAAUGUAUGUUGUCUAAUGCUAGUGUGGGCAAAGCGUUUUGGGAUGAUGCAAUUACUUAUGCAAGUCAUCUCAUUAAUCGAUUGCGUGUUGCAGCGAAAGAGGGCAAAACGCCUAUGGAUAUAUGGUCUUGUAAACCUUGUACUGAUUAUAAAUAUUUGCAUAUAUUUGGUUGUCCUACUUACUUUCAUGUCAGGGAAAGCAAGUUGGAUCCGAGAGCAAAGACAACUCUAUUUAUGAGCUUUAGCACUGGCGUGAAAGGAUACAGAUUUUUGUGUUCAAAUGUGAAGAAAUUUGUUGUGAGCAGAGAUGUAACUUUUGAUGAGACUACUAUGGUUAAUCAGAACAAGAAUGGAAGUGAAAGUGAUGCGACCAAGACCACAAGUGGUUCAAAGUAUGUGGAGUUACUGAAAACUCUAGUUGUUCCAAUGAAGUCUGAUGAUUCAGACACUAGUCCUACAAUUGAUUCUGAAGAUGAGGAUGAGAGAAAUGAAGAGGAGGCAUCUAUCCAAGAGCCUUCACAGUAACAAGAUUCUAUUGCAACUACUAUACCCAAAAAAGUGAUUCGAAAGCCUACUCAGUAUAAUGAUAUUGUGGCAUAUGCACUUCCAGUUAUUAAAGAUGACAUUCCUUCCACCUAAAGAAGCAAACAGAAGUUCAGAGAGUGUGGAGUGGAAGAAGUCUAUGGAUGAGGAGAUGAAAUCGCUUCAUAAGAUUGAAACUUGGGAACUUGUUCAGUUACCAAGGGGAAAUAAAGCAAUUGGAUGCAAAUGGGUUUAUCCAAGAAGAUGGAAUCUUUGGGUAAAGGAAAUGUAAGAUUCAAAGCUAGAUUGGUAGCAAAGGACUAUGCUCAGAAGAAAGGCAUUGAUUACAACGUGGUAUUCUCUCAUGUUGUAAAGCCUUCCUCUAUUCGUAAUUUGUUGGCUUUGUGCAGUUUGACCUUGAGUUGGUUCAACUUGAUGUCAAGACAACAUUCUUACAUGGUGAUUUAGAAGAAGAGAUUUAUAUGUCUUAGCUACAAGGUUUUGGUGUUGUUGGAAAAGAAAAUUAGGUUUGCAAAUUGCGAAAAUCAUUGUAUGGUUUGAAGCAGUUUUCAAAACAAUGGUACAAGUGAUUUGAUCGGCUCAUGGGCCAAGGUACACAAGGAGUCAAUAUGACCAUUGUGUCUAUUUUCGCAAGCUACAAGAUGGAACCUUCAUCUACUUGCUUUUAUAUGUUGAUGAUAUGCUUAUAGCAUGUAAAAGCAAAGUGGAGAUUGAAAAUUUGAAGAAUCAGUUGAGUAAUGAAUUUGAGAUGAAGGACUUGGGAGAAGCUCGGAAGAUACUUGGAAUGGAAAUUGAACAAACCAAAGGGUCAUUUCUCGAUUUAUGCAUGUCAUCCUUAUCAUUUCAAUUUUAUCGAAUCUUUACUUUGAACUAGUAAAUUUUCAUUUGUAAAGACCAGCAACUGAUUUUUGCUUUAUUUAUUUAGAAUCAAAUCAAAUGGAAACAUUACAAUUUAUCAUAGCCUUAGGUGCAAGCCAAAGCAGCUCUGGCUUGACAGACAAGAAAAAGAAAAGGAAAAAUGACAGCCACACCAAUUUAAUGACAGAGAAAGCACACGCAGUAUAUUUCAUUUAAGGUUUUAGUUGUAGGCAUCUGGGUUGGCCACAAGGUAGUUCUCAAUAAGCUUGAACAGAUCAGUGGCCUUCUCUUUGCCAGCCUUAACAUCCUCUUCCUUGAUCUCAACAUCACCUGUGGUGUGGUAGUUGCUGCUGCUCUUUAUGAUGGAACCUCCAUCAGCAGAUGCCACCAACUUAAUCUCAUAACUGAUUUUCUCAACCUUGUCUGAAAGAGCAUCUCCUUCAACCAAACUGUAGCUGUACACAAAGUUAUCUUUGUCAAGCCCGUCGAUCCGGUGCUUCACAUAGCUGUAAUGACUUCCUGUAAAAUGAGGAUUAUAAUUAGACAUUAAGAGAUUAAUGCUUUCAAGAUUUAUGUUAUUAAUUAAGCAAACAAUUUGGAAGAGGAAAUGGCAGAAACCAACCUUCACCAAAGCUAAUCUUCUUGAUGGUUCCAACACCUCCAUCUCCUUCAACAAUUUCAGCACUUUUAACUGAUUGGGGAGCAAUCUUGGGGAUGAGGGUGUCAGCUUCAAGAACAAGGGCUUUGAACAAUCUUGGUGGGGGGAUGACUGAGGUGGACUCGUCUGUGUAUGUGAAGACACCCAUGAUGAUGAUUUUAGAGCUUAGAAACAGAUCAAAGAAAGAAUGACAGUGUGAAAGGAUUAGAUGAUUGGCAGGGAUGAUAUUUGAUGCUGGAAAAUGUGAGAAAUGGAGGUGCUAUUUAUAGAUUGAGGCUGAAGGUCGGGCUGUGUGAAAUCUGAGCUGUCUAUCAAAGACUUUAAGACUUUGAAAAUGAAAGUGAAAAGGACUUUAGACAGCACACCAGUUGUGUUGUAGUAUUCUGAUCAUCAAAAAGGCCAAUCAGAAUGGACUGUGUACGUAGACAUGUGUUUUAGAACAUUCUAUUAGAAAAUUAAUUAGCACAUAAGCUGAUUGUAAUAAGUUGGAAUUUUUAAAAUCAACUUGUAGAGGUGGCUUUCUUUGACUAAAAUAUUCACAUGGGAAAUAACCACUGAAAACUUGUCCAAACAACCUUAUAUCCAUUGGGUUCACUUCACCCUUAACCUAUAAAUACUCCCUCUGGUGCUCACAUUUCCUCACACCAAUAUCAAUCAUUCUCUUUUAGCUUCCUCCACAUUCAUUCUUUCUUUGAUCAUUUUCUAAGCUCUUAAAUCAUCAUCAUCACGGGUGUCUUCACAUACGAAACCGAGUUCACCUCUGUCAUUGCUCCACCUAGGUUGUUCAAAGCCCUUGUUCUAGAUGCUGACAACCUCGUCCCAAAGAUUGCUCCACAAGCAGUUAAAAGUGCUGAAAUUGUUGAAGGAGAUGGAGGUGUUGGAACCAUCAAGAAGACUAGCUUUGGUGAAGGUUUGUUUCCACCAUUCUCUCUCUCUGUCUACUAACUUGGUUUUCUAGUUAAUAUGUAAAAUGAAAGCAUUUGUGUCUUAAUUUCUAAAAAUGUUGACAUUAACCACCCUCAAAUUAUGAAAUUACAGGAAGUGAAUACAGCUAUGUGAAGCACCAGGUUGAUGCGCUUGACAAAGAUAACUUUGUGUACAGCUACAGUUUGAUUGAAGGAGAUGCUCUUUCAGACAAAAUUGAGAAAAUCUCUUAUGAGAUUAAGUUGGUGGCAUCUGCAGAUGGAGGUUCCAUCAUAAAAAACACCAGCAACUACCACAUCAAGGGAGAUGUUGAGAUCAAGGAAGAGCAUGUUAAAGCUGGCAAAGAAAGGGCCCAUGCUUUGUUCAAGGUUAUUGAGACCUAUCUUGUGGCCAACCCCGAUGCCUACAACUAAAACCAUCUAUUAUAUAUUCUACAUGUUAAGGGCAACAAUCUUAUGUCCUCUCCUUUCUCUGUUUGUUCAGCGGGGUGGUUUUCAAUUUUCUCAUACAAAAGCAGUCUAUGUAGUUAUGAUUAAAGAUUGUAUUUGAUUACAAUUUCAAUAAAUGGAACACAAAUCAUUUGAUAGCUUUUUCCAAAUUUGGUUUGCAAUGUUUCCCCUGAUUUCAUGAAUUCCACAUCGAUCGAUGUUAAGUGUCCGGGGCUAACUUAGCCAAAAAUCAGAAUAUAGAAGUAUAUCUUUUAAAGAUAGAACAUUCGACCCAAAUCAAUUAGCAAUGAGUUGAGAGGUUCAACAUUUUCUUUACGUAAAUGCAAGAUAUAAAAUACCCCAUCUAGAGACUUUGAUUCUUUGGUUGGCAAGGAGGAGAGGCAGAUUAGCUACUCUGGACGGGUUCAGCUAUUUAUAAUGGUCUCACUGCUCAUGCUUGGCUACCUGUUUCCCUUUGGUACCUUUGUUGUUCUUUGUUUCUUUACAAAUAUAUCUGUCAAGAAAUCAUGCUUAAAUUUGUUUCUGGUUCUCCGUUGUGUCAUGUUUGUGCAGAUUUCUGUGAGUUCUUUUUGGACAAAGAUUUCUAUGAGUUUGAUUGUCAGUUUUUAUUGUACAAUAAAGCACGGAUAUAUGACGUUCAACGAAAUAAAAAAGUGAAGUAACAAAUUGGCAUUACCAAAAGUGCAGUAAAAGCCACAGGCAGAAAAUCCAUAGAAAGGCCCCAAUAAGCUGGGCUUUGUACUUUGUUUAUCUUCAGAAAGACAAAAUUACAAUGGCCCAAUUGGCCCAAUUUAGAAAAUAAGUUGAUUCGAUCCAAGAGGAAAAAUUGGUAAGAUCAAACAAAUGUUUUAUUUUAUCAAUGGGGUUCUUGGUUAGAUUGGUUCAGGUCUUAGGUGUGCUCCUAAGUAAUUUUGGAUUUAAAUUCCCAUGGUACUCGUGCCUCUCAAGACCCUCUAAGUAGAAUUCGAAAGCCUUUUAAAAUAAUUAAAAUUCUAAAAGUAAAAAAUUGGCUAAAAUCUUAACAUGUCCAAAGUUUCCCUGAAGAAUUGACCAUAUUUUCAAUUGGAAACAUUUGCUGGAGAUACAAUUAGAUAUAUUUAGUCAUAUACCAAUUCUUAGCUAAAAUUAUAAAUAAACUCUACACAAUUUAAUUUUUAUAAACAUACUCAAAAAAAA